AUGAAUGAACUGACUGAGCGAGCUCCUCGGAGCAGCUCUGGUCUUCAACACCUUGUGAAUUGUGAAUGUCUUUGGCAAGUGAUGCGCUUCGAGUAAUCGAGGUGCAGAGUUUCGCUCGGUUUGAGCGAAAGCUUGCCUAUGAAUUUUAAACUAUUGCCUUUUGAGCCUGACCAAUUUUUAUCAGAGAAAUACUGAAA
rnacentral:misc_RNA from 1 species